UCGCCACUGGUUACCAGCGCGGCUCCCACCUCUCCUGUUAGCUUCCUCAACAUCGUGGCCUUGUGCUGCCACGCGACCCCCUUCCAAGUUCUUUUGCCGCCUCCGGAUGACGUUGUGGUCGUGGAUUCCUACAAAGGAAAGAUGUGCCUGGUUUCCACCAUCGUGAGGCAUCGCAGCCCCAUCCCAAGGUCCCUGCACCGAAGGAGAGAUCAUGUAGAAGCCAUGCCACAGCUGGUUUGAUGUGCAGGAACAAGGUUGAUGCGUCUACUUGCCGCCGGCCGGACGUGUUGUGCACCCAUCGUCUGAUACACAUACCGGCCCAUGAUAGCAUAGUGGACUGUAACUCUCCAGGAGGAUUUACAUGUCAGAUCCUCAGAGUUUGUUUAUGCUAGAAGCUUUCACUUUGCUGGAGUUGAUGACAUCAAGAGAAAUUGGGAAUCUGUUGGUAUGAUUGGGUAGUGGGCUACAUAGUGCUACCCACCAUAAUCCUCGCCAUGACAUGAUAGUUGCCAUCAGGAGAGUCGACGAAGAACCUGAACAGCAGCCUCAAAAGUUUGUAUGUUUUGUUGAUGUAAACUGGAUUGUAGUGCUUCUUAACCUUCUUCAGUAAUAUAUUUAGUGAAUCUAUGUUGUAAGUUAUCAUUAGAUGAAGGAUUUGUAAACUACUAUGUUGUAUAUACAAACAGAUUUUUUCGAGAAAACAUAUAAAUAUAGAUGGC